UGGGAGAAGCCUUGGACAGGUAGGUCCACU
rnacentral:piRNA from 1 species